GGCAGCUUGUGGUGGAAAACAUUUGGAGCAGUUCGCCAAACGAACAGCCAAUCAGCGUUGGUUUGGAGGCGGGUUUAGGUGUGA